rnacentral:rRNA from 1 species
GAUGAACGCUAGCGGCAGGCCUAACACAUGCAAGUCGAGGGGUAGAAUUAGCUUGCUAAUUUGAGACCGGCGCACGGGUGCGUAACGCGUAUGCAAUCUACCUUGUACAGGGGGAUAGCCCAGAGAAAUUUGGAUUAAUACUCCAUGGUAUAAUUGAAUCGCAUGGUUUGAUUAUUAAAGUUCCAACGGUACAAGAUGAGCAUGCGUCCCAUUAGCUAGUUGGUGUGGUAACGGCCCACCAGGGCGACGAUGGCUAGGGGGUCUGAGAGGACGAUCCCCCACACUGGUACUGAGACACGGACCAGACUCCUACGGGAGGCAGCAGUGAGGAAUAUUGGUCAAUGGGCGGAAGCCUGAACCAGCCAUGCCGCGUGCAGGAUGACGGCCCUACGGGUUGUAAACUGCUUUUCCCCGGGGCGAACUAACCCCUCGCGACGGGGGAGUGCCGGUACCGGGGAACGUAAGGAGUCGGCUAACGUCCGUG